GCCGGGGUAGCUCAGGGGUAGAGCGACGCACUCGUAACGCGUAGGUCGUGGGUUCAAUUCCCAUCCCCGGCUCCA
rnacentral:tRNA from 1 species